rnacentral:rRNA from 1 species
UACGAAGGGGGCUAGCGUUGCUCGGAAUUACUGGGCGUAAAGCGCGUGUAGGCGGAUCGGAAAGUCGGGCGUGAAAUCCCCAGGCUCAACCUGGGAACUGCACCCGAAACUCCCGGUCUUGAGUGGUGGAGAGGGAAGUGGAAUUCCUGGUGUAGAGGUGAAAUUCGUAGAUAUCAGGAGGAACACCAAUGGCGAAGGCAGCUCACUGGGACGGUAUUGACGCUGAGACGCGAAAGCGUGGGGAGCAAACAGG